AAAUUGAAGAGUUUGAUCAUGGCUCAGAUUGAACGCUGGCGGCAGGCCUAACACAUGCAAGUCGAACGGUAACAGGAAGCAGCUUGCUGCUUCGCUGACGAGUGGCGGACGGGUGAGUAAUGUCUGGGAAACUGCCUGAUGGAGGGGGAUAACUACUGGAAACGGUGGCUAAUACCGCAUAACGUCGCAAGACCAAAGAGGGGGACCUUCGGGCCUCUUGCCAUCAGAUGUGCCCAGAUGGGAUUAGCUAGUUGGUGAGGUAACGGCUCACCAAGGCGACGAUCCCUAGCUGGUCUGAGAGGAUGACCAGCCACACUGGAACUGAGACACGGUCCAGACUCCUACGGGAGGCAGCAGUGGGGAAUAUUGCACAAUGGGCGCAAGCCUGAUGCAGCCAUGCCGCGUGUAUGAAGAAGGCCUUAGGGUUGUAAAGUACUUUCAGCGGGGAGGAAGGUGUUGUGGUUAAUAAC
rnacentral:rRNA from 1 species